rnacentral:rRNA from 1 species
GACGUAGGGGGCAAGCGUUGUCCGGAAUCAUUGGGCGUAAAGCGCUCGUAGGCGGAUGUUUAAGUCGGCGAAGAAAGACCUGGGCUCAACUCAGGGAACGGCGUCGAUACUAUUCAUCUUGAGGUAGUUAGAGGAUGAUGGAAUUCCCGGUGUAGCGGUGAAAUGCGUAGAUAUGACACAGAACACCGAUUGCGAAGGCAGCUGACGAAACUGUAACUGACGCUGAGGCUCGAAAGCGUGGGGAUCAAACAGG